UACGAAGGGGGCUAGCGUUGUUCGGAAUUACUGGGCGUAAAGCGCACGUAGGCGGAUAUUUAAGUCAGGGGUGAAAUCCCGGGGCUCAACCUCGGAACUGCCUUUGAUACUGCAAAUCUCGAGUCCGGAAGAGGUGAGUGGAAUUCCUAGUGUAGAGGUGAAAUUCGUAGAUAUUAGGAAGAACACCAGUGGCGAAGGCGGCUCACUGGUC
rnacentral:rRNA from 1 species